UCUUUUUUUUUUUAUCUUAACUUUAUUUACACUAUUACACAAAUUGCAUUAGAAUGCCCCGACAUAUCCUACUUUUAGGUAAUUUUUAUGAAAGAAAUUGGCACGGAUUUUACCUUAUAAAUAAUUUCUACCAAAGGUUACACUAUUAAUGGCUUUAUGAAACCUUCUUUUAUUGAUGACUAACCCAAAACAAAUGUCCUCUCUUAAAAUAUAAUGCCUAUGUAAUGUAUACAACAAAAUGAAUAAAUAAUCCAAAAUAAAUAAAUAACAAAAAUAACAUAUUAACGAUAUAAUACAAAAGAAUAUAUAUAGUAUCCUAACUUUUAGUGAUUUUUUAAAAGCCAGCAUGGCUCUACCCUAAGUAGGCUUUUAUGGCUCACAAUAUGCUAGGUCGAGAUUUAUUAAUCUAAAGGUUCCAAAAUCAAACCUUACAUUAUCAUCAAUUACAAACUAAUAAGGCACACUAAUCCUUAUCCAUUAUAGGCUACAAACAAAAAAUGUUCAAUCUGAGUGGAAGUGUUUCACUAGCAAAUACAGAAGUUAUCACAUCACAAAAAUGUAGCUACUAAUAAGCACACUAAUCCUUACCCAUUAUGGGCUACAAAUAAAAAAUGUUUGAUCUAAGUGGAAGUGUUUCACUAGCAAAUGCAAAAGUUAUCACAUCACGAAAAUGUAACUACUUCACUUCUUCCUAAUAAGGACAGAGUCCGGGUUUAGUGCUCAUGCAUAAAGGUGAAUAUGCAAAAGUGUGACAUAAUAUAUCAAUCAAAAUAACAUAAAUAAAUUACAAAUAACAAAAUUAGAACAAGAUAACAACUAACAUGCAUUUUUAUUUUUUUUAUUUUUUUGAAAAAUUAAAAUGUAAGGAAUUAAAUUAAAUAUCAACUAAAACCAAUUAAUUUCAAAACUUUUGAUAGCAUAUGAUAAAAAUUUUUGGCCAAACUCAUAAUGUCCUCGGUAGCGUUGCCAAGCUAUCAUAGUGUAUCAGUUUGGAGACUCGAUUGUUAGACAUAAUAAAAUAAAAUUGUGAAAACAUAGGGAAUCACCACUAAUCCCUUUUUAGGGUGUGAUUGGUCACUCAAAUUGUUUUUCUUUUUAAUAAAGUAAUAAGUUUAUUAAAAAAAUAAUUUUGGUUUACGUAAAUAAAAUUGAGUUUGAGAGUCGGUUAUACGUAAAAAGGAUUAGCACUUCCACAGCGCCCAUAAAAUUGGAACCAAUUAAAAAUACGCUAUUUAUAAUUUUAGACAAAAAUGAUUUUUAUACAAAAUUUAAUGAUAAUUCCCUUUCUUUUUAAGAAGUAAAGUCAAUUAAAAAUCUUUAUUUAGAAAUGAUGUGAAAAUGUAUAAAUUAAAGAGAUACUUUAAAAUUCUUCAUCAUAAAGGUAGAAUUCGAAGAUAAUCCUUUUCGUCUAAGAUUUACCACAACAUUUCUUUGAAAAAAUAUUUUUUUAAAAUAGUAAAUAUUGGUGACUUUUCAACAUCUAGGCAGAAUACCGAAAAUUAUUUUUCUUGAAAUAUUAUUUUAAAUUUAUUUUAAAUUAAUUUUUAAAUAAUAUUUUUCAUAAAAGAUAUUUAUGCAGAAAAAGGAUGAUGCUACAAUUAAAAAACAAACAAUAAUAGCAAUUAAAAGAUAUGAGCAUAUGAAUUUGGGAUCUUAAAAUUCCCUUUUUUGUUUUUAUUCUUUAUUUAAUUUUAUUAUUUUAGGAUUAAGGAAUUAUAUGAAAAUUUUAAUGAAAUAAAGCUUCGUUAUUAUUUUAAUUAUAGAAUCAUAUGAAAAAUCCAUAAUGAAAUAAAAUUUUCUAAAUAUCUCAUCAUCUAAGUGAAAUUCAAGAACAAAUUAUUUCACAAAAAGGUUUCAUACAAAUCCUUUAAAAUUUAGAAUGACUUUGAGGUUUUGGGACAUUAGGGCUUAGGUUUUUCAUUUAGGGUUUCACCUAGGGUUUAAGGUUUUACUUAGGGCUUUCAGGUUUCGCCUAAGGUUUAGAAUUUCACUUUGAGUUUCGAAUUAAUGUUCUGUUUUAAGGUUAAGUUUAGAACUUUGGUUAGGAUUUCAAUUUUAAGAUUUCAAAUUAAAGUUCCAUUUUAGGUUUUAAGUUUAGGAUUUUAAUUGGGGUUUCAAUUUUAAAAGUCUAUGCACCUUUUUAAAAAUCUUUGACUUUUAGGCAAACAUUUAAGUAAGCUCAUUUUUUAUAAUUUCUAAAACAUUGAAUUUUUAUAUUUUUAUUUAUUUGUUUUCUUUUUUCAUUAGAAUUUUAUUAUUCUUAUUAUUUAUUUAGCUUUAUUAUUUUUUUUAUUAUUUAAUAAUUUCUCAAUAUCUAGGCAGAAUUAUUAUUUUUUAAAACAUAAUUUUGAACCCCCUUCAACAUCUAGGUGGGGAUUACAAAAUUUUUUUAACGUUAUUAUUAUUAUUAUUAUUAUUAUUAUUUAUUAAAUAUUUUUAUUUUAUAUGUAUUUUAUUUGGCCUUAAACCCUAGUGAAAUCCAUGCAUCCCAUUCAAGCCAAAACAACAAAAUAAUAAUAAUAAUAAUAAUACUAAUAAUAAAUCCAACUUUCCCCCAUACUUGUUAACCUAUAAAUGGCAAUUAUGUACAAACUUCACCCAUAUAUAAUCAUCAUGUCAAAAGUAACCAUGUUCAUGCAACAUGUGAAAUUAUAUUUUUUGUAUUUUUUUCUUUCAUGCAAGUAGUCAAUUAGCAGGACACAGGUUCAUGCAAACAAGCAAUUAACAUGGACAAGCUUAAACAUAAUGAUGAAGCCUUGAGCUUUAAUGGUAGUCAUGUAUGGUAAAGAAAAAAAAAUAGUAUGAUAUCCAAUCACCAACUUGAAAGAAAAAUAAAAAAUGGCUCAAUUCGCAAGAAAGCAAGUUAAAAGAAACCAACACUACAACAAUUAAGAUUUUUAGUGCGAUUUUCUUGUGAUCGUAAGUAAUUUUGUCACAAAUAUUAGGUUUUUUGUGACAAUUUUUCUAUGACACUAUUGUAAUAAGUAAUUGUAAUGUAUUGUUAUUCAGUCACUAAUAUAAUAGUAAUUGUGACAAUUUAAACUUUUUCACAAUUAAAUCAUCACUAUAAGUAUGUUUUUGUGACACAAAAUUAUUUGUCAUUAUAGAAUUGUCAUAGAUAAAGUGCACAAAAAUGGUGGCAGGUGAAUUUUUGUGGGAAGUAAUGUACUAGUGACAACAUAUAAAGUGGCCACUACUAUUAAAUAUUUUUGUGAGGAAAAAUUAAUUUGUCACAUAAUACUUUACUUUUUGUUUUGAAAAUAUUUGUCACCAUUAAAUAUAAUAUAUUACUAUCGACUUUACGUCAUCACAAUUACAAAUUUAUCACUGUGACAAUUGAAAUUGUCACUACUAGAAAAAUUUAUGAAAAUUCAAAUUUUAUUUUUAUCAUUGGAAUUGAGAUGGAGUUAUUGAAUUUGAUUUCUUCAUUUGAAAUCCAUAAUGUUUUGUUUUGCUCAUGCUCAUAUUCCUAACAUCAAAAGUUAAUUGUGCAAGUAAAGGAGUCAUUUGAUUUAUUAAUUUUACUUAUAAAAAAGUUAAAAUACUUAUAUAUAUAUAUGAUAAUAAGCUAUUUUAAAAAUAAAUAUUCAUCAAAUACUCACAUAAAAAAUAAUGGUAAGGAAGCAAGUUUUUAAUUUCAUCUAAUAUUGACGCCUAAAAUUUGGGGUGGCAAGUGAAUUUUUUAAUUGGCGGCAAUUCAUUAUUUGACUAAAAAGCACAAUAUCUAAAGUAAAACAAAAACCCUAGCCAUCAAAGUCUAUGGAAGAAAAAACUCUUUGCCGUCAAACCUCUCAUGAUUGUUGAAGUUCUAAGGUAAAUUUUUUUACAUAAAAAUUUUGUCUCUAUUAUAAUUAAAAUAUUCAUACUAUUGAAGAAACAACUCUUUUUUACCGUCAAACCUCACAUGUGUUAUUGUCUAAGUUAUGUGGUAAUUGUUUUAUUUAAAAACCUUGUCUCCAACAUUUUUAAAAUAUUCAUGCUUUAUUUUUAUUUUGAUUUAGAGAAUUGAUUUUUUUUAGAGAAUUGUAAUUUAUGUUUUUUUAUGAUUUAAAAAUAUAAAAUUUUAAAUCAUUAAAUAAUUGAAAUAUAGGUAAUUGUGUAUUCAGUCCAUCGCAAGAAAUGGUUUAGGAGGUUGAAUAAGAAUUUGAAAUAUUUGUUCUAGGUUUAUGUUGCUUCACUAUUUUGGAUAAUUUGUAUAGAAACAGUUUCUAUUUAUUCUUUACUUGUUUGGUUUUACAAAUAACAAAUUUAUCUUUGAUAUUCUUGUUUAUAAUUAAUUCUGUUUUUUAAUACCCUUAUUUAUUUAUUUAUCUCAAAUAAAUUAAAUUGAGAAUUAUUAAGGGAUACUGUAGAACUUUUGAAUUUUAUGAAUUAUAAUUAUGAUUAUGCAUUCAAAUUGAAAUAUUAAUUAGUUUUCAGAAAUAAAAUGGUUAAUAUUUUGCGAUGCAAGUUUUUGGCAAAUUCAAGUGAUGCACAAUAUAAUACUCUCCAUACUGCAGAUAAGUCUCAAGUUGCCCAUGUGCCUAAUCAACUACCUAAUACUCUACUUAAGAAUUCAAAUACCGAUAUAAGUCUAGAAGGAUAAUUUGUUGCUUCUACAAGUUUUAUGAUUUUGAAAAAUAUAUGUAAUAAUUUUUUAAUUAAGUUGAGUGAUAAAUAUAACUGUAGAUAAUGUUAUAUGUUUUUUAAUUGUAAAUCUUUUAAUAGAGAAUGGAACUUCUAAUAAAAGAGGAAGGGGACUAACAAAAAAUACAAAACUGGCCAUAAAGAAAGCCAAAGGUAAAAAGCUUGAUAUCCAGUUUCCAACUCCAUACUAUAAGAUAUGUUGUAAGGAUGCCAACCUCUUUAAGGUAGAAUUAAUAAAUUGCAUUCAGCAAAAUACACCUCUUGAAGUCACUAGUAAUGAUGUAAGUACAAUAAUUAAAUAAUUAAUGUGAAAUAGCAACUAUAUAAGAUAAUUUUUUACUACUCAUUAACUUAUUUUUUCUUAUUUUGUUUGUUUUGUAGGAAAAUAAUGAACAGUAAAUUUUACUAGGAUCAGUUAUGGAUUUCUAGAUUGGAUUUUCAUUUGGAUAUUAUCAUAUUUGUGGACUAAAACUUUUUUUUAGUAAUUUUUUAGUUUUUUGGUAAAAAAAAAUACUAGUAUGGCUUUAUUGAUAAUUGUAUUUUAGAUAUUAUGCAAUUUUGAAAUUGGAAUUAGGAAAUCAAAAACAUGAUAUUUAUAUAUAUAUAUAUAUAUUGAUAUUUUAUUUAUAAUUAUUGUUAGCAUUUUCUUUUAUUUUUAAAAUAGAUGAGGUGAUCACAUUUAUAUGUCACUAUAAUUAGAUUUUUUUUUGGAAAAAAGUUUUUAAUAAAUAUUAUUUUGUAAUUACAAGUGCAAUUUUUUGUGAUAAAUUAUUUUUUAUAGUCAAUAAUGAUAGUCUUUUUAUAAAUUGACAAAUUUUAUUGUGAUAAUAGCUAAUUUAUUGGUGACAAUAAUUAUUGCAAGAAAUAAUUUAAAUAUUUGUGACAUUAUUCAUUCGAUACUAUUUCGAUAAAUACUAGUAAGAAAAAAUUGUCACUAAUAAAAAUAAUAUUAGUGACCAUAGUUUUGUAACUAUUGCAAUAUUUUUAGAGUCGAUAUUAUCAUCACAAGAAAAUCAUGUUAUUGUGACAACUUUUUUUGUUACUAUUUUAAUUUUUUAGCGUCAAGAAUUUGUCACAAUAAAAUGAGUUAUUGUGAUGAUUUAUUUUAAUCAUAUAUUCUAGUACUUUUAAUGCCAAAAUUUCUAUCACAGAAAAAAAAAAGAGCUAAUGUAGAAACUUCAGAAAUAUUGUCACUAAUACAAUAGUGACAAAGUUGUUUGUGACGACGAGUGACAACUUUAAAAUUGGUUCCUAUUAAUUUGAGUGGCUAAAUUUUAUAUUUUUAGUGAAAAUUUUUUUCUUCACUAAAAAUACUAUUUCUUGUUGUGCGAGAAGCUAGUUCCAAAUUUUUAUGAAAAUGAAACAAUAAACUAGCUCUGCAAAUGCCUCCCCCUCCCAUGUGAUUUUUUGAUUAUCUCUUUAUUAUUUUAUUUUUUUUAUGCUGCAUGCCUAGCUCUUCUGCAUACUUUUCCUUUCUUCUUCUUCUUCUAUUUUCUUUUUUUCUUGCUGCCUGAAAACUCUUCCUUUUUUUUUUUGAAUUUUCGUCCUACUCUGCUUAGCCUCUAUUGAAAAUUUUUUGGUUUUUUAUUUUUUGUGCUACAAAUUUUUUUUUUGGCAUUCCUAUUUCUUUGAAAAUUAUAGGAUGGAUUUAAAAAUGGAUUGUGUAAUGGGCUUGAAAAAUUAUGAUUAAGGUUUAAUUGCAAAAUUGAGCUUGAGGUAAAAUAAUAGAAUAUCCUAGAUAAAAUUAAUUGUUUACAUUUGUCACAAAGCUCAAUAUUAAAUAGCCUCAUCUUGAUCCCUUAUCAAGGUGAUUCCAUUGUAAGCUUGAACUCUCAAUCCAUAGCUUAAAACUAAUUUCAUCUCCAUAGUGCUAAACCAUUAUGGGGAUUGCUUGUGUAAGAAGGCCAAUCAUCUUUUCGACAUACUUUUCAAAUCAUAUCAUACAUGUACAUAUACAUAUACCUAUGUGCAUACUUCACAAAACAAAGUAGUAAACUUUAACAACAUUAAUCGCAUUCAAUAUAGGUCAACUUAAAUGGAAAAAAUCAUAGAUUGUUCACAUUGAACAUCUUAAUCGAUACAUCCUUAUUUAUGCAACUUUAGAGAUUUCAUGUGACUAUGAAACAUAUCUCUAGGCAUGGGCUUAGUUAAUGGAUCUACAAUUAACUCAUACGUAGAAAUGUACUUGUUGACUUUCUUUUAUGCAAGCAUGUCUCUCAUAAAAUUAUAUUUGGUAUAUUUAUGUUUGGUCUUUGGGAUCUAUUUGUGAAUGCGAUCGCUACUUAUCUAUCGUAAUUCACUAGCAUUGAGUUAGAUUCAUCUUUUUCAAUUCCUAAAAGAUUAAAAAAUCUUAUAAGCUAAACAACUUCUUGCAUUGUUGCUGAAAAUGCUACAAAUUCAACUUUUAUUGUGGAUAGUGCUAUUCAAGUCUCUUUUUUACCGAUCUAAGAUAUAGCCCAAUAUUCAGUAAGAAAACAAGGCCAAAGGUAGAAUUUUCUUUCAUUUAAAUCUCUUUUCCAAUUGACAUCCAUAUAGCCAAUUAAAUGCAAACCACUUUCUUGAUAACAAAAAAAUAAUCCACAGUGCCUUUAUGAUACCUUAAUAUUUUUUUCAUGGCUUUUCAAUGGGAUUGACCUGGAUUGGAUUUUAUACCUUAAUAUUUGUACACCUUGUGCUAUUGACCUCUAUGAAUGAAACCUACAGGUUAUUCCAUAUAAGUAUUAUCUUUUAGUUCUCCAUUUAGAGAGGCAUUUGUCACAUCCAUUUAAUGUAACUCCAAAUCUAAACAUGCCAUGGCUAGAAUUAUAUCCUUUGGGUAGAUUAAUUAAUUCUUAUACAAUGUUUAAUCUUAAACUCCUUCUUUCUACUUCCAUUGCCUUUAUCCAUUUUUCUUUUGUUUGACUUGUGAUUCUUGGGAAAAAAAUUCAAUAAAUUCAUCAACUUUAGUCAUGCUUCCACUUAGAUAAGAUACUAUUUGUUAUUGAUUAGGAAUAUGCAUCAACUAAUUUGUAUUUUUCCAAAUCAUUCGUGCUUCUAAUCUCAUAACAAGACAUUUCUUGACUCAUCUCACUUUUAUUUUGGAAACUCAUUUUCUAGAAAAGUGGUAUUCCAAGAUUCAAAAUUCAGUUACAUUUCUACUUGAUUGUUCACUUAUGAACACAUAUCUUUUUGAAAUGUUUAUCAUAUCGUACAAAUAUACUCUUUUUGCAUUGUGGAUCUAAAACUUACCAUGUUAAUGAGCGAACUUAAAAAUAUAGAUAGUACAACCUCAAGUUUUUAAGUUAUUGAGAUUAGGUUUUCUAUCAAUCCAUAACUCAUAGGGAGUGGUUGUAAUUGACUAAAAGAAUAUUCAAUUGAAUAUAUAGACAGUUGAUAAAAUACUUCACCCCAAAAGUGAUUUGCAAACUCACUUGGACCAAUAUUGACCUAGCUAUUUCUAGAAGAGUUUUGUAAAGUCAUUGAAAUGGUUAAUUGCCUAUCAAUAUCAUUUUCAUCACAUAACUAUUUAAACUAAUCAAAUAAGUACUCAUAUUCAUGAUCAAUUCUUAAUGCUUUAAUGCUUUUUUCUAAUUGAUUUUUCACAAUGUACACAAUCUUUCUAAAGCACUUUAAAGCUUUAGGCUUGUGAAAAAUCAAAUAGACAAAACUAAAACAUAUGUUAUUAUCAAUUAAUGUGAUGAAAUAUUAACCUUCAUUGCAUGUCCUUACAUAUAGUAAGUCAUAAAUAUCAGAAUGUAUUAGUUUAAUAGAAUUUUAACUCUAGUUUCUUUAUCAAAUGGUUUUCUUGUUAGUUUUUUAGCUGGACAAUUUACAUAUAAUAGCUUAUUAACAUUAUCAUAUAGGGCAUUGUAUCCCUCUUUUGUUAAUCUUUCUAUUAUAUGUUGAACCAUAUAGCCAAGUCUAGCGUGCCAAACAUUUACAUUAAUAUUGGCAUCACAAAACCAUUUAAUAAACUUUCAGAACCAUAACGAUUUUUUUUAAAAACAAAUCGAUAUUAGUGUUAUUAAAAUUCGUAACAAAUCCUAGACAAAAAAGAAUAGUGAUAGGAACUAAAUUCUAUCAAAUAUUAAGAACAAACAAGACAUUAUAUAGGGUGAGAGUUUUUCCACCUUGCACACUUAACUUGUAGAUGCCAACUCUUUUUACUUUAAUCAUUUGAUUGUUUUCUACAUAAAUAUAUUUUUCUCAUAUCUUGUGCUAUAUGGUUUGUAGUUCAUGAGUCUUUUUCAUCUCAUUACAUUCACAAGCAAAAUGACUAUAUUUACCAUAGGUAAUGCACUUGAAUUUAGCUUUAUUUUUCUUAGAUUGAGCUUAGGGAUCAUUCUCUUAACCACUUUGACCACUUUUUGGUCUUUUAGGAACUUUUCCUUGUUCUCACCAUGUGGCCUAUGCUUAAAACUCAUAGCUUUCUUUGAACAUUUGUAUGCCAUAUAUAUAUCAGCACUAGGCUCGAAUGCUUCUUAUACGAUCUUUCUUUAAUUGAAGAUGAUGAAAAGCAUCAUUAAGAGUCUUUAUACUUUCAUUGUGGUUUAGAUGCACCUUCAUGUGCUCUCAAUUAUGUGGCAAGGAUCAAAUUAUUACUUAAACCUUAUGUUCAUCUGUAAAAGUGUGAUCAACCUCCUUUUUAUACAAAUUUUGUUGUCAAGGCACUCUACAUCUUUUUUAGCAAUAUCAUGCAAACUUAACUCAUGUAUGAUAUUAUUCUCCAUACUACUUAGCAACGUAAUGUGAGCAACAAAGUUUUAUCUAUCUAGGCUUCACAAGCCAUUGGUCCUUUCUAUGUUCAAACGUAUUCCUAUACUCGGAUUCAACUAGAACAAUGUUUAGAAUUUCAAGAGCUUGUUGUUCUUCUAACACGUAUUGAAUUUUCAUACUUCAAAUUUCAUAAUUGUCCCCAUUCAAUAACCAUAUACUUAAAUACAAAUACCAUAUUAAAAAAUUAGUUCAAUAUUCAGGGACCCAUGCACUAAUUAAUGCCAAUCAUUAUACACAUAUAUUUUAUCAUAAUGUUACAAAUAAAACAAUGAUAAUUAUUCACAUAAAAAUGAAACCAAAAGAUCACUAUGUUCAUAAUCAAAUUCUAUUUUUAAUGUGUUUGAUUAUCACUAAUUUAUUUCAUUGUGCAAAAUUAAUCAUUGUAAGAUAGAACAAAUCAAUUAUCUUAUAACUCUCACUAGCCAUAAGGUUACCUUCAAUCAAUGACAAACAUUGAUUGAAAUUUACAUAAAUAAGUCCAAUAUGACAUGUACAUACUGAACACAUGAAUUAAUUCCAUCAUUAAACAUACGUAAUGUUUAUUAAACUAUGUUCCCAAUCAGUACUAUCACUGGUCUAGUGACUAAGAUGGAAUCCCUAAAUUUCUGUAACAGUUCCACAUUCUUAUUAACCAUCCAUAAAGAUUCAAUAAUUUUAUAUGUGCCAUUAUGGAGAUUUGGGCCAAUAAAAAAGGUCGCAUUCCUCUUUGUCCUUUUCUCUCAAAAUCAUAAAAUUUUUUAUCAAAGUUGCAACACUAGGACAUUUUCUCUCGUUAGACAUCCAAAUAUCUUUGAAAAGAUUCUUUUGUCUAAAUGUAAAGAGUGCAUCUAUUCAACAUCAUACAUAUAUUUAGAUCCUCCAUACAUGCAUGUUGCCUUACAAAAUCAACUCUUUAAUACUAUUGUUAACCCUUGAUGAUAUGACACAUAAUAUCAUCAUCAUUUGGAUCUAGUUUUUGCUACGCUAAUUCAAUUAGUAGGCUUAUGACUCUAAGUAAUUGCUUCUAAGUUUUUAUAACAAUAGAAGUUCUCACAAUCAUUUUGAGAACUCAUUAUCAUGAUUUUUUAUAACAUAUAUAUAAGAAAUUACAUGAAAACACACAACUCGCUUAAUGAUUAAAACAUAUUUUAAUCAUUCUUAUGCUUUUCAUCCUCCUAAAGUUAACCAAUAACUAUUAAAAUUUUUUUUAAACAUUUAUUUAUUUAUUUUUAAAUUUCUUUAUUUUUUGAAUUUGUUGAAAAAUCAUGUAUGGCAUUCAAAUUUUUUAAGAAAGUAUUUGAAUGCUUAUUCAAAAAAUAGGUUAAAAAAUUGAUGUUUUGUUAAGGGCAUUCAGAUGCCCUAUUAAAAAUUCUAAUGCUCGAGUUUUGAAAAUUGAAAACUUAAUCCAAAUUAAUCUAAAUGAUAAUGGUAACUUGCAAUUGAAUAUUUAAAAACAUUCAUAACAACUUUCUACAACAAAAUUACACACUUUUGUGUUCCAUAGAUUUUUUGACACAUUUCGAUAAGAACUUAAGAACAUGUCUACAAUUUCAGUGUUUGAAGACAAAUAUUGAAAUAACCAGAAAUUAAGCCAACCUGGCUCUGAUACUAAUAAAGGAUAAUAUAAUAAUACGAAAAAGAUCAUAUCUAAAAAAUGAUGCAAAAAACUUAUUUGAAUUGCCAAAACAUAGCAAAAAUAUUUUUAUGAAAGGGUUAUGGAAGUGAUGUCGACUUGAUUCACUGAUCAAGGACAAGAUCACUCAUUCGAAAAUUUUGCAUUAUCCAUAGCAUAAGUCCUUUAACACUGAAGCAUGAGAUUCCUCUAAAAGUUUCCUUCUUUACACCGAUUUCUUUUUUUUCCUUUCUUGUUCUCUAUAUGACUCAUCACAUAGUCCCACAUGAAUGAGACUUAUCUUAUUCUUGAUUUGGAUGAACAUAUUCAUCAUUUUUAUUUCUCAUCAUGGCCGAACACCAAGUCCUAUUGAGAGAAGAAAAGACCAUGGCAUAUUCAUGCCUCAAGAAAAAAUUUUUCAUGUUUUUCUCAUAUGGUUGGUUGCCAUUUUUCAUGAAGAAGAGAAUGGCUUGAGGUUUUUGUCCAUUUUAAUUCAAAAACAAUAACCAUUCAAGGUAUUUUUUUUGUUUUAGAUCAUACACCCCACAUAACUACCCUUCGGUAGUUAUUUAUCAUAUAAGAUUUUGCUCACGCAUUAUGGGUGACAAUUUUCUAUAGAAUCAUCCUAAAAAAAACAAAGUAGUGUUUUGUUAAUUUUUACAUUAUAAACUAAACACAAAACUAUAAUGUGUUAUCUUUAUGUAAACACAAAGAAAAUUUUAUUACACUUAAUUUGUAUUUACAUUUUUUCUUGUAUACUUUAUACAUCACCAGUGAAUCGUACAUUAUUAUAUUAUUAAUGAGUAAAAUUGAAAGUUGAGAUAUCCUUAAAGAUAAAUUGCAGUCAACUUUUAUUAUUUACAUUUUGAACUUUUAAUUUUUUUAAAAUUUGCUCAUUAAUGAUAUGAUAUUUUAUGAUUUAAAAAUAUUGUAUAUAACUAAUAUACUGAUAAUAUAACAAAUAUAAAUUUUAAUAUUAUAUAUAUAUUAAUUUGCUCCCACAGAAAGUAAUUUUUAUCCAAGCAUGCAUGUAGUAGGUGCGCAUAGGAUAGGACUGGUAUUUUUUUUAAAAUAAACUUUAGCAAACACAAAACAUAUACCUAUAUGCCAACAUCCCAAAUUAGCAAGGCUGCCUUUGCUUAGCCCCGAAGUUAACUAUAUGUCUUCUCUACAAAAACUUUGCUAUUGCCCGUCUUUUUAGUAUAUUUUAAAGGAUCCCUUGUUUGUAUUUGCUUCUCUCUCCGUUUUCCUCAUUCCUUUAAGAACAUUUUUCCUCAGUAAAAUAUCACAUACCAACUCCUUGCUAAGUUUUGUUCUUGUAUAUUUCCGGUUUAAUCUUUUUUUUGUCCUUACGUCCGUCCCGUUUAAGAACCUGACAUCAACCUGAUAACAAAAGUGGAAAGUUUUUUGUAAUCAGGUGAUGCGGAUUGAGACGUACGUUGGAAUUUGAAAUAUUUUGAAGAUUUCAUUCUUCCCACAGAGAAGAAAUAUAUUAUUGAUCAAUAAGAAAUUACAUUAACAUUUGGUUUACAAAAGUAUCCAGCAGGACUUGACUCUUGGUGAAGGGUCCAGGGAGCCUUAGACUUGGAUAAUGGUUUACAAAAGUAUCUCUAGGACGAAAACUAACAGAGAUUUAAGGUCUGAGUUUGGUCCUGAGGCCGGCUUGGAUGAUGGGCUGCAUGUUUCGAUCCAACCGUAACCUAGAUUGAUCCUGCUGAAGAGCCAAGAGCAUCUUCUUCCGAAAUCUCUGAAUCACAAUUUGCUGAGAGUGAGAUGGGAUACUGCCUGUUAAAGCUUCAGCCACUAGGGGGGUGGACCAAUAUGUGUAGGCUGGUGAGUAAAAUCAAAUCGGCCAGAGCUUGAGUUCAGGCUUGGAUAAUAUCCGAUUUCUCAUCUGUACAACAACUGCAAGGGAAGAAAACGUCGGAGAGAUGAAGGAGGUGAAGGUUUUGGUGAGUUUUUCCAAACUUGUCAAGUUUACUUAUUGUUUGAUUGUUUCAAAGUAGCCCAUGCUUUUGUUUUUGCACACGCAUUUUCACGCAGGGUAGCGUGCAUUUUCCUCGUUCCAUCAUUUCUUUAAUAGUAUUGACGUGUCCAUAAUAACUUGUCAAAGAAAAAGGGACUCCCAAAUUAACUUAUUAUAUGGGAGAAAUUACCAGGAAAUUGCAUGAUUAUCGGCAUGAAUUUACAUACUUUGAUUUUUUUCGGAUCUAAUUAUGUGAUUCAAUACAUUUUAAAACGAAUCACGUCUGUAUCAUUAUUUUUUUCAUAUGAUUCAGAAAGCCUUUCAUAGGAAACAUCCCAAUCUUUUGCAUUAGACAUAGUUUCUCUCAUUAUUAUUUUUUAAUGAGAUUUUUCCGGAUCUAAUUAUGUGAUUCAAUUCAUUUAAAAAUAUAAAACUAUCACGUUUACAUCAUUAUUAUUAUUAUUUCGCACCUGAUUCGGAAAGCGUUCCAUAGGAAACAUCCCAAUCUCUUUCAUUAGACAUAGUUUCUCUCAUUAGAUGUCUAGUCAUAUCGGUUAAGAUGACAUUUAAAAACUGUGCAACUAAUGAAUCGUUCUCUCUGGAAUUUAAUAAAAUAGUAAAUUAAAUGCAAAAAAUUAAUUAAUAAUUAAAUAAUCUUUAAUUAACGUGUAUUUAUUUCCGGUUAGAUUUUUUUAAUCUGUUUUUUAAUAUAUUCAUCACAACCAUUAUCCAGGAAUUUUGAAAUUUAUUAGUGUAGAAAGUUGUUGAAGAUUUAUAUAUUGAACAGUAUUUGACAAAAUAGUAAUAAUAGAAAGACAUUAGGACUUAGCAUUUAUCUAUUUAAAGUAUUUGAGAUAUAUAUAUAUAUAUAUAAACUAGUCAUGCACACGGCUUUUCUGAAUACCGAAAGGGACUAAUAAUAUAAAAAAUCAGUAGCUUGAAAAUAAAAGUAACAUCGAUCGAUGGAUCGCUAGACCAAGCGAAAAUGAAACUAUAAUCGUUCGACACAGACGUUAAACCUUGCAGUAUUGCACGAUCAAUGGAAUACGAUGUAUUCUUUGUCUAUGCACUGUGACAACAACUUAAAUUUUGAUCUGACGAUAGAAAAUCAAAGUAAUCUUCGUAGAUAGGUUGGUUGUCGGUUGCUGGACCAGCUGUAUAAUAAACAUUCUUCAAUUUUGGUUUUGGUAGAUAGGUUAGAAAUUAUUUUUUCAAUUCUAAUUGUUUUCUAUUUUAGUCAUUGACCAAAAAAUUUAAAAUAUUCAUUAAAGUAAUUUUCAAAUGUUUUUUUGUUAAAAAAAAAAAAAAAACUAUGAUCGGGCCAUUUGAAGUUUUCAAGCGUAUUUUUUCCGCUUACCAAGUAUAUAAAGGCUUUCCAUUUGAUGAGGAAAUGCAGUAAUUCCCUACUGAAAACUUCAAACUUCAAAGGUUUUCUAAGGAAAUAACAUAAAAUGCCUGCGACAGCUUUAAGUUGGAGGAACUCCAAGCUCGCAGUUGCAACAAAGAUGCGUUCCAAAAAAUCAAAGAGAGGCCAUCAGGUAUAUAUCUUAAUUUUACAUCAUUAAUUGUUGUAUUUGUUAUUGUUAUUGUUAUUCAGCAUUAACUUAAAUUAUCAUCAUCGAUGUAGUUUAUUUGAAGUUUUAUUAAGUGUGUUAGGCUAAAAGAUCCUAAUCAUUUCAUUUAUUUAAAGUAAAUAGAAGUAUAAUCAAAUUAUAAAUUAUUUACUUAAAAAUAAUAAUUUAAUGUAAUUCGACUUUUUAUUUACCUACAUUUAUAAAUAAGAGAAAAGAUUUUUUAAUUCCAAAGAAUUACAAACACAUUAAAUCAAUCAACACUCGAAUAAUUACUCAUACCCAUUAACCCUAUCAUUCUCCUUUAGGUUCUAUGAAGUUUUUACACACAAAACAUUCAAACAUUCAAAUAUAUACACUGGUAUGGACCUCUGACUUUUUUAAUCAUAUGAGGUGUGUACCCUUAAAACCUUACUCCUUGCCACUUUCUCUUAUACCUAUUGAGACUUUCAUUAUUUAUAAGACAUCUAACUUACCUAAAAAUUAUCCUUCUACUCCUAUAAUUCUUAUAUUUCAAGUCUUGUAUAUCAAGCAAUAUCUAUUCAAUUUCAAAAAAAUCUCAAACAAAUUUCUUACAAAAUCUUUUCAUAUUGGAUUCAAUAUUUUCAAAAAGCACACUAAUAAAGUAAAGAUGGUAGUGAGAUGUGAUCUUUUUGUUUUUAGUGCUAAUUUUUUUAUCAAGAUCAAGAGGUUACCUACUAUUUUGUUGUGAUUUCAUUGUAUGAGGUUCUUUGUUAGAGUUGUACCAGUUGAUUAAGGGUUCUAGCUUUAUUUGAUAUCAUCUUUUGUUUAGGAAGUUUGGUUUCCUUUUUGGGGGAUUGCUUAGUAUUUAGGAAAUUUCAUUGUUGGGGCUUCUCUGUUUUGGAUGUAUUUUGGGCAAUUGAGAGAUUUUUUAAUCUCUCAAUCAAUAAACUUAUUUAGCUUAGCAAAAAAAAAAAAAAUACAUAAUGUUGAACUGAGAUUUGUUAAUUGUAGUGCAAUAAUCUCCUAACCUUUUUCUCUCGUACAUAUUGAGACUUCCAUUAUUUAUAAGACUUCUAGCUUAUCUAAAAAUAAUCCUUUUACUCUUAUAAUUCUUAUAUUCUAAGUCUUAUGCAUAAAGUAAUAUCUAGUCAAUCUUGAAAAAAUCUCAAACAAAUUUCUUACAUCUUUUGGAAUUUGAGUCAAUAUUUCAAACAAAAUGCCCUAAAAAGUAAAAAUUUUAUCAAACAUUUUACCUAUAAUUUUUUUCUUCAAUUUUUUAAUUGUCUAACCACAAUAAAGAAUUAUAUAUGAGUUUUUAACAAUUUUAGUAGUCACUACAUAAAGUUGAAUCGAGAUUUGUUAAUUAUAGUGUAAUAAUUAUUUGUGAUAAGUUCUCAUGUAUCUGUUAUUAAAAGAUUAUCUGUUAAGAAAUUAACUUAAUAUUCAAAUGCAUUUCCACGUACAUGAGAUAUAAUUAUACAAAAACUAAUUGUUAUGAAAAUAAAUUUUUUAUCAAGUCAAAUAUAUAGGCUAUGGAGUUUUUUUAGUCAAGACUGAUGUUCAAAAUAGUAAAUCAAUGUCAUUUUGGGUUGAAUAAAUUUGGAAAUAUCAAAGAGUUGAGCCAUGCAAGAUCUGCCCUGGCACAGCUGGUUGUUGUCUUUAGCAUAUAUUUAGAAACUUGUAUCCAUAUAUAGUUGAAAAAUAGUUUUAAUGGAUAAAAUUGCCAUUAUGCAACAGAUGUAAAUAUAAGGCUAAGGUGUUUAUAGACACCAUCAAAAGUUUGGAAAACAAGAAAAUUUGAAAGAAAAUUUUCACUUACCGCCAUAAUGUUCCUAUUAUAACCCCAAAUUUUUUUCUUAAACAUAUCUUUUUUAAUUCCUUAGCCACUCUAUUCAUUGCCCUUGCUCAAUACCCAACCAUAACCCAUAGCCUCAACACCCAACAUCCGAUAGACACCCAUUAUAAUAAGUGGACAUUUCGAACAAAAAAUCUUGGAUCCAUUGCUAUUAGCAGUUUUAUUUAGUUAAAACAAAUAAUAUCUCGUAAGUUAGUUUUAGUUGCCUACUUACCUAGAAUUUUUCUUAUCCUCAGAAUUAGAAGGAUAUUUGUUUAGUCCUCUAAACAUGUAUCAAAACAACUUGUGUUUGCAUCUAUUUAGUUAAAACAAACAAUAUCUCAUAAGUUGGUUUCACUUGCUUACUCACCUAGAAUUUUUCUUAUCCUUAGAAUUAGAAGUAUAUUUGUUUAGUCCUCUAAACAUGUAUAAAAACACCUUAUAUUUGAAAUUUCAAAUUUUGAAAAUUGUUUCUCUUAGAAGAACUUUUUGUUUUCUAACAGAAGAAAAGAAGGUUGACAAACCUAAACUUAUGCAUGAAAAUGUUAAAAGUGGAGUUGGAAGAAAUAAAUGAAGAGCAAAAAAAGAUAAAAGAGGGGCAAAGACUAUUAAGAGAAAAGUUUGAAGCCAUUGAAUUGGAAUGUGAGCAACUUCGAAAGGAGACUAUCCUCAUAACUCAACAAAGUGUUAGCACCCAAAUCUGCCUUGCUCUUAUGAUCCAAAUCCUAAAAGCUAAGGAAAAUAAUGACUUUUCCAAAGCAUCACAACUCACUUGUGCGCUUCGGUUUGUUCUCUUCACAAUUUUAUUAAAACUACCAAUUUUGACUUUCUUAAUAUAUGUCGAAGUACUUCACUUAAAAUUAUGCUAAUGUUACCUUUCAUUUUUCUUGUUACUAUAGUGAACUCAUAGCAAGAGAGAAGUAGCAAAAGAAGCUUUGAUGGCUAAUUGGUGAUGCAUGCUAUCUCAAAUUAAUAAAUGGUGUAAUAGUUUCCAUCGUUAGACUUUUAUUUGUUUUGGUAUUUGAAAUAGUCAAGGUUUGAGGCAUGGUCAGUAAAAUUAAAAGUUCAACGCUCUAUCAAUAGAUCGCAUGACUAUUGAUUGUACAUUUUUUUAAUUAAAAAGUUUAAGGAAAUUAGAACAUGUUCUUUAAACAAAAGAAUUAUACCAAUUAUUGUGCCAAAUUUUUGUGUUAUGUUUGGGCAUAUAAUUUGCUGCGAGGGGCUUUUAAUUGGCUCUCUUUUUUAUUACUUCUAUCUAUAUUGCUUGCAAGAACAUAGAUCGCUAUCAAGUAAUAAGUGAGUAAGUAAAGUAUCAUCCCAUGAGGAUUAUAUAUUGUAAUUAUUGGGUGUAAAUCAAGUACCAAAGUUGACAAUCUACUAGCCUUAUAUCUAAAUGAUCGAAAUGAAAGGUUGAUUAAAAGUUAAAACAAGUAAACAAAGUAAAAGAGCAAUUGUGUAGAUAAGCCAAGAAAUAACUAUCCAACUAUCAUUUAUAAGUUUAAUGAGUGGUUGAAUAUAACAAAAACACUAAAAUAAUUGAAAGCUUUUGAGAAAAGAAAGAUUGAUUGUAGGCCAAAAAUAAAAGAAAGCAUAAUACAAGAUUUAAAGAUUACUUGUAAAAGAUCUUGAAUAGAAAGAAUGCUUGUUUUAAGAAAGAAUUGAAAAACAAUCUUAUGUUGGACUAGUCUAUCACUCUAGCUAAUACUAAAAACAAUUUGAUUUAAGCAAGUUCGUCACCCUAGCAAAAAUACUAAGAAAACCAAAAAUACAAGAAAGAAAUAAAAAGAACAAUGGGAUGAGAAUUAAGUGAUUUACAAUUAAAGAGAGCUUGCAUAUUUAUAAAGGUAGGUUUGACCAAGGGGAUUGGGAUUAGAAGUUUUUUUUUGCAAAUUAAACUCUAAAAAGAUUAAGCUUUAUCUUGAUUUUAAAGUGUUGUGAACGAACAUGGAGAUGGAGUGUCUUUCCUAAAUAGGGCUUCUUGCAUUUUGGCUAAGGUUGAUUAUCACAAAUUGUUGCAUCAAUCAUAAAUUGUUGAAAUAAAUCUCCAAAAUUCUUUCUUGCAUAUAAACUUUAGUCUUUAUCUCUUAUAUUGCAUUUAUCUUAUGUGAAAACUCUAUCAAGAUGAUCAAAGAGUCUUUUAAUAAAACAUCUUCUUGGUCGAGUAUUUGUAGAAGUCCUUGUUCAAGUAGGAUUCUUCAAUUACCAAAUGCUUGUAGGAUUCCUCAUGUAAGUAGGGUAGUUGAAUGGAUUUAGGAGUUCUAGUGCAAGUAGGAUUUAGCUAACUCUCCCUUAUUGUAUGGCCAAAUAUGACUUAGAUUAAAAUUAACCUAGUCUUGCAUAAAAUUGCAUUGCAUUGCAUCACAUAGAUUUCACAUCCAAUAUGCAUUAAACUUAAAGAUCAAGAAAUCACAUAUUAAGCACACCAAAUUCAAGCAAAUUUUCAAAAUUUUAAACUAAAUUGGACUUGUAAAUCACUAUAAUUUUUAUUGCUAUCAAACCCCACACUUAACUUUUUGCUUGUCUUUAAGUAAAACCCUCAAAUUAAUUAUAGUAAGUAAUCAAUUCAAAUGUACACAAAUUCAAAGUUUCACAAAUUAUCAAUCAUGCAAUAUAGUAUAAUACAAAUAAAGUUAUGAACAUAAUUAAAUAAGAAACUUAUCCAAAAGUAAGCUUUUAAUCUCAUUUAACUUUUAUGACAAUGAAGUUAAUUUAUCUUUAAUCCAUACAUACAAUCUAAGUAAAUAGUAUGCAACAUAUGCCAUCACAUAUUAACUUAAAGAUAAAAUACCUUCAUAUGUUUACUUUCCUCAUUCAUCCCCACUACUAUAGACUCACACACUUAACUCAAGAUCAAAAGGUAGGAAAGGAAAAUUUAGGCUUAUAACCUUUUGCUUACUUUUUCGAACAUGGACUUUGAGAACUUUUGAAACUUUUCAAAACUUGAGGCAUCUUUUUUUUUCUCAUUAGCCAUUUUGGCUUUUAUUCAUUGCUUUUGUCUUGCCUUACACCUCCCUUCCUUCUAAAGACAAAGUUGUUCUUUUUACUUUAUCUCUUACAUAUGCACAAGCAAUGUGAGUUCGGUAAAAACAAUAAAAAGGAUAAAUCAUAAAAAGGCCUUGGCUUAUUGUUAGGGUUAAAUAAACAAGGAACAGGUAACAUAUAAAGGUAUUUGGAUACUUUUUCAUAGAUGAGUUUGAAAGACUCAAACAUUCCAAAUAAUGCCUAAAUCAUUUCUUGAAUCAAAUAUAGUUUAAGAUUCAUCUUGAGGAUUGAGUAGGUAAAUUCUAAAGUUACACUCAUGCUUCAAAUCUUUAUGCAACUUUAUACUCACAAUCUUUUCACAAAUAUUGAUACAUAUCAAAGAUUAAGACUAAAUGCACAAAACAUAAAAAUCACAAUCAAAAGAAAAUCAUACUUAAGACUUCAUUUUCAUGCUUCACUACAUUCAUACAUGUCUUAAUAUCAUACUUAAUUCAAUCAUAAACAACUUAUGAAAAAUCAACUAAGAUGGCAUUAUAAAGAUUAUAACAUGUUAACUUGGUUUGAAAACAAAGAUUUUAGGGAUAUUUUGAAAAAAUUUUGAAAACAAUUUAGGUAAAAAAGCUUUCCUCCCCCACACUUGAAUUAUAUAAUAUUCACAUGAAACAACUAAGAACUAAGGGUAAAAAAAAAAAAAAAAAACUCCCCAAUCUUUGCUUUCCUCAAAGGCUAAAACUUGUAAUCUCUAUUGGCAUAUUUUUGCAUGUCUUUAUCUUAUGAAAACUUCAAAACAAACAAUAGAUAAAAGCAUACCUGUCCUAGCAAAAACAAAUAACUAAGAAAACUUACAAAUCAAUGUAGAACUUAGGUUGUCUCGUAAGCAAUGUUAGUUUUGGUCAAGCUUGACCAUACCUAAUGAUCUGGUUCAAUGAGUUAGAUCACCUUUUCAACUUGUCUUUCAUCUCCUCUAUGAUAGAUUUUCAAUCCAUGCCCAUUAACAUUAAAAGGUUGCUUCUCUUUUUCAUCCAUGAUUUUCACUAUUCCAUAAGGGAAAACUUUGUCAUAAUGAAGCGUCUGCUCCACCUUGAUUUUAGUUUGCUCAAAACCAGUGUCAAUCUUCAAUUAAAAAGUAAUACUUCUUGUUCUUGCUCAAAGUGUUCUUUUCUAAGAUUUUCUUAUCAUACCAUCUUUUCAUUUUCUUUUUAUAUAACUUGGUGUUUUCAUAGGCUCUCAAUUUGAAUUUAUCCAACUUAUUCAACUUCAAUAGUCUUUUCUCUCUUGUCAACUUCUGAUCCAACUUCAGAUUCUUUAGGGCCCAGUAUGCCUUGUGUUCAAAUUCCACUGAUAAGUGACAAGUUUUUUCAUAAACCAUCUGGUAGAAUGACACUCCUAAAGGUGUUCUAAAUGUCAUUCUGUAUGCUUAUUAAGAAUCAUAUAAUUUGGCUACCUAGUUUUUUUAGGAUAGGUUCACAAUUUUCUCAAGGAUUCUUUUCACCUCCCUAUUAAAUACUUCAGCUUGACCAUUGUUUUAAUGGUGAUAGGCAAUGGCUAUCUUAUGUUUUACUCUAGAUUUAGCUAGCAAUUUCUUAAAAAUUUUGCACAAAAAUGGGUGCCUUCAUCACUUAUUAUGGCCUUAGGUGUAUCAAACCUUAAACAUAUGUUUUUCCUUAAAAAUCUUAAUACUAUCUUGGCAUCAUUAGAGGGUGACACUAUGGUUUCACCCAUUUAGAAACAUAGUCCACUACUACCAAAAUAUAAAUAUUUUCAUAAGAAAACAUGAAUGGUCCUAUAAAGUUUGUCCUCUACAUAUCAAAAACCUUAAUCUCUAAAAUGUUAUUCAUUGGCAUCUCAACUCUUUUUGUUAGAUUCCACAUUUUUUGACAUUUAUCACAAUUAGAGGUAAAGCUAUAUGUAUCUUUAAACAGAGUUAGUUAAUAAAAACCAUAUAGUAAUACCUUGCAGUUGUCCUUUCUUUUAUUUAGUGUCCUUCAUAUUUUGAUGAAUGGCAUUGUUGUAGGAUGCUUUUCAUUUCUUCCAUCGAAACACAUCUUUUUAGUACUUAAUUUUUACAUUGCUUGAAAAGGAAUGGGUCAUCCUACACAUAAUAUUUAACAUCAUAAAAAUUUUUUUUCUUUUGUUGAUAAUUUAAAUUUUGUGGAAGGACACUACCUACAAUGUAAUUUAACAAAUCAGCAUACCAUAGUGGUUCUUGGAUUGCGAAGAGUUGCUCAUCUGGGAAGGAUUCAUGUAUUAGCUCUUCAUCAGCUGUUGCCUUCUCAAUUUUGGAUAAAUAGUCUGCCACAUGAUUUUUGCAACCUUUUUUUUCUUUGAUCUCCAAAUCAAAUUCUUGUAAGAAUAGAACCCAUCUAAUUAACUGUGGCUUUGCAUCUUUUUUUUCUAUCAAGUAUUUGAUAACUACAUGGUCUGUAUACACUAUCACUUUUGUUCCAAGCAAAUAAGACUUGAAUUUCUCAAAAGUAAAAACUAUAGCAACUAAUUCCUUUUCUAUUAUGGCAUAGUUGAGCUAUGCCUUUUAAGAGUUUUACUUGCAUAGUAAAUAGUGUGAAAAAUUUUAUCUUUCCUUUGCCCUAACAUUGCUCUCGCUACGAAUCACUUGCAUCACACAUUAGCUUGAAGGGUUCAUUCUAAUCAGGCCAUAAGAGGAUUAGUGUAAUUACUAAUUUUUCUUUUAGUGUUUAGAAAGCGAUUGCACAUUCAUGAUCAAACUCAAACAUGGCCUUUUUUUCUAACAACUUGCAAAAUGGCUUGGCAACCUUAGAAAAAUCAUGGAUGAAUCUCUGAUAUAAACCUACAUGUCCCAAGAAACUUCUAAUCAUCUUAACAGACAUAAGGAAAGGUAAUUUUUCAAUUAUUUCACUUUUGGCUUGAUUUAUUUCAAUUAUUUCACUUUUUACAUACAUUGUGAUUAAGCAUAAUUCCUUCUUGGAUCAUUAAGUGGCAUUUCUCCUAAUUAAGCACCAAAUUAGUUUAUUCACAUCUUUGUGGCACCUUAGACAUAAGACAUAAAUCAAAGUUAGUUCUAAAAAUCGAGAAAUCAUCCAUAAAUACUGUAGACACCCAUUAGUGUCUGGGCUUAAUUAGGCCCAUUAGUGUCUGGGCCCAAUUAGAGUUCAUUUGUGUUUGGGCCCAAUUAAGCCCAUUGGUGUUCGAGCCCAAUUAGGCUUAUUGGUGUCCAAGCCUAAUUAGGCCCAUUAAUGUCUAGGCCCAACAAAGCCCAUUUAUGUUUAGGCCUAAGUAGGCUAACUUUUUUUUAUUAAUGUUACUAUUAUUUUAUUAUUAUUAUUAAUUAUUAUUAUACUUUUAUUAUUUUUAUUUUCUUUAGUAUUUUUGUGGAUAUAUUAUUAUUAUUAUUAUUUUAUUUUAUUUUCAUUUUUUCUCUCCUCUUCUUUUCUUUUUUUCUUUUCUUUUUUGUUCAAUCCACACGUGCACAAAGGAUGGAAUUGGGAUUAGAAUCUUUUGGUCAAAUGUAGAAUCAUAUCAGCAAGAAUUUUGGACCUAAAAUCAUGCUUGAUAGAAUGCAAUCCCAGGAUUCAAGCCUGGGAUUGAUUCUAUCGAUUUCUUAAAAUUGUUCCUAGGAGUGCCUAUAAAUUGGAUUGAUUUUAUAAGAGAACACACACAGAAAUUUUGAGAGAAAAUUAUUGAAAAAAUCUGGGAAAUUUUGGGCAUAAAGGGUUCUGGCAGUUUAAUUUUGGGAUCUAGGGUUCAAUAUGAAAUUGUGGGUUUGAUUUUAGGUUUCUAAGUUAGAAUUAGGGUUUAGAACGAUUAUGGAGUUUCUGGGAGUAAUUUGAGAAAAUUUUGGAGAAAGUUCAAAGAAAUCUGGGUUUUUCUGGGUUUUUUUGAGUUUUUGGGAAGAACAUGAAUUUUUCGAUGAUCGUUUGAAGUUUUCUAUGAGAUUCCGACAAGGUUUCCAGAAUUCGACACAUUUUUCAAAAAUCAAUGGAUUUUUCAAUUUUUGAUUGAAUUUUUUGACGACAUCCCCAUAAACCGAUAAGAUUCUUAGUUGUUGUUGAAUUUGUCAAUGGGUUUUUUAAAGAGAGGGCAAAGGGAAAUCAGCUAGAAAGAAAGGUGAAGAGGCUUCUGAGCAGAAAGGCACUGGACCUGACUUAUAUAUCGUCUCUAUAAGACAUCAUUUUAUUUAAACCAGGAUCCACACGCAGACCCGGUAACCUCCAUGUUGACCUACACUUUGACUUGACCGAUUGUGAGUUUUCUCUUUUUUAUUUUUUUUAUUUUUUUUUAACCUACUUUUUCAUUAUUUUUGUAAAAAAACAAAAAAUAGUUGUUUUUACCAUUUUUAUUUUUGAAAGUAAAAAGAAAAAGGUAAAAAAAAUAUAAUUCUACAAAAAAAAUAAAAAAUCAAAAGUUUUAAAUAAGCAAUAAUAAUUUUUUAUCCUUUAAACUAUUGAAGGAUUGCUUUGAAGUAAGCCCUACCAAACUAUUUGGAGGCUUUACUAAUUUUUCAGGGAUAAAAUAAAUUAAUCUGAUGAUAGAGCCUUUUUAAAAUGGGACACUAGUUUCUAUAAAUACUCUUGAGGUAAGAAAAUUAUCUGAAAUUGCUAUCAAACUAUUGGGACAAUUUUAAAUCAAAUUGGUACCAUCCUUUGGGUUGACAUUAUGGGGGUGCUAUAAUGUUUCCCAUACGUAAUCGACUCUUGAACCUAACAUCUAUUUUUGCAGACUGAAAUAUAUUUCAAGUGGCCAAUCACACCUAGACAAAAAAAUUGAUGGCGACUCCCUCUAAUCCAUGUCUAGUGGUAGAUCCACGGAUCUAUACUUUAUGAUAGCUUGGCGACUUUGCUAGGGACUUUGAGAGUCAAGCUAGUAAAUGACUUCUUAUUAUCCAAUCCUUGCUUAAUUUGGAAUUAUUCCCUUUCAUUGCUUACAUCUGUUUUAUUAUUUAUUUUCGUUGUGUAUACCUGCUUAUUUAUUUGUUCAUAUCUGCUUGAUUAUUUAUUUAUUGUAUAUAUAUACCUGUCAUUCAUUUGCAUAUGCAUAACAUAAGCCCUCCACCCGAGCUCUACCUUUAAGAGGGAAUGAAGUACCUAUGCCCUCGUGAGAUUUCAUGUCUUUGCAUAGGCCUGCGAAACACUCUCACUCAAAUUGAACCCUUUUCGCUUGUAGCCUAUGAAGGGUGAGGAUCAAGGUACCUUACUAGUUUGUAAUAGACCAUGAUGUAGGGAACAAUUUAGGGACCUUUUAGAAUUAACCCAAACCUUAUAUAGUCAACCUUAAGAGCCUAACUAUAGAUAAAGCCUUAUCUUCCCACCCUUUGUAGAUAAUCCAAAAUGUAAGGUCAUAUUGUUAUCUUACUUGCUAUGUAAUGUUUUAUUAAAAUGGCUAACUAAAUCUCUUUGUCUUCUUUUAUUUCGUUUCUUUUUGUGCACAUUCAUGAACAUAAUUAUAGAUUUGCAGAGUGUUAUUGUCCCAAAGCUAUUUCAACAAAGCCCUAAUAGAUUCCACAAAACAUCAGGUUUGCAUUUCAUCUACAUUAUUCAAUUGUGACUCUCCCAUAAAUGUAAGGAUGGAAUAAAAAUAGAGGUAGCUAGAAGAAGGAGGCUGUUUGCCACCUGGUUAUGUCCUUACAUUAUUAGAAGAAGUCUGCCUACUCCUCAAACAUAAUAAUCUAAAAAGCCUAUCAGAUAUAUGGAAUAGUAUGACUCCUUCAAGGUAUAAGGCUUUUUGUGAGAAGUUUGGGCACAUUGCAUAUCUCAUGUCAGUAGAGGUUGACUACUCACUUAUCAAGGUGAUGGUACAAUUUUGGAAUCCUUCCUACUGAUAUUUUAUCUUUAAUGAGGUUGAUCUAGUACCAAUAAUAGAGGAGUACUUAACUCUAAUGGGUAUGUAUCUACUAUAUCCAGACAGAAUAUACAUGAAGAAACACAAAUCAGGAAGUGGUAGGAAGCUAGGUCAAAUCUUAGGAGUGGAAAAAGAGGUCAUAGAUUCAUACAUUCGAUAGAAAAGAGAUCAUAAGGGUAUUCCAUGAUAGGUUUUUCAAGAUUUCAUUAUCAAGCAUCUAGAUGAUGAUCAGGGAAUGAGUGCAUUUGCUCUAGCUAUAUAUGGGUUGGUCAUUUUCCCCAAAGUCUUAGGCUAUAUUGAGAUAAAAGUGGUGGAUUUAUUUGAGCAAAUUGAAAGGGAGUGUAAUCUUCCACCAAUUAUCUUGGUAAAAACCAUCAGAUCUUUGAAUUUUUGUAGACAAAAUGACAAAGCACGCUUCAUGGGCUGCAUACCCUUAUUAUCUAUAUGGAUGAAGAGCCAUCAUGAAUGUAAGAAAAGUGCUUUUAUCAAACUUUAUUUCUACACUUGGAGUAUGAUUAGGGAGUUCUAUCAAAGCAUUUGGCUAGAAGUAAAGACUCAAAAGGAAUGGAAGUAUCUACUGCAAGGGCUUAUAAUUGGUCAGGUAAAAUGGUUAGCUCCAUGGAUGGAUAGGGAACCUAUGUUGUAUCAAUGUGGAAAUAAGACAAGGGUUCCACUUUUAGGUUUAUGGGGGUUAACGAGUUAUGCACCAUUGAUGGUAAGGAGACAGUAUGGAGCUAAAUAGUUUACUCUUAUGACCUGCAAGCUUAGCUAGUUUGACUAUUCAUGUGGGGAGCCUGGAACUUUUCAGAAGAUUGAUAGCAUGAUUAAGGCCUGAAAGAAGCCCAAGAGAGUAAGCCCAAGGCCAUUCACUGAUAGAGUCACUUAGAGGUAUCUGAUUUGAAAGAAUAAGAGGGGUUAGUAGAUUACAUUUAUGCCUUAGGAUCUUUACCAACCAGUGGGUCAAGAGUUAGACAAAAAGCUUUCAGAGUUAGAGCAUGAAAUGGAGAAGGAGAAAUUGAAACAAGAAAUUUUGAAGCUACAGGAUGAAAAGGAUUAAUGGUAAAAUAAAGUAGAAAAAUUAUAAAUCCAAGUCUAUAGGAUUUCCAAUGAAUACAGCAAGGCCUAAAAAGUUGUUAGAGAAUGGGAUGAUACCCUUAAAGAGCUGAAAGAGUUGCGACAAGAACAUAAAAGAUCAUGCAUAUAGGUGUAAGCCAAAGAAAUAAAUAACACAGAGUUGGCUCAAGAGAAUGAAGAGUUAAAAAAAGAGCAUGCCCAAAUAGAAGAUGACUUUAUAGAGGUUGAACAGAAGAAUUAGAUGCUUAUAGAUUACAUUUUAACUCUGACAUUGAAGUUGAAUGAACAAAAAAAUCAUGUCAGAACCCUCACAGAAAGGCAUAGAAAGUUAUCCUAUCAGGUGUGGUAUGACAAAAGAGAAGAAUUGGGAAGACAAAGAUACAUAGAGCAUCUCAAAACUUAGAUAGGUAAGGCUAUGAUCAAAGCAAGUAAGGUGGCAAAAAAGCUUGAGACAUUGAAAGCUUCGAUUACACUAGCAGAAAAGUAUGGACAAAGGCUGUUAAACUUCAUUGAGGAAGCUAAAGAUUAGUCUAAGCAAGUUGGCAUUUUCAUAAAGGGAUAAUAAUAGAUUCAAUGUAAAACAGACUCUUAUGGAAUAAAUGAAAGUUUUCUUUUGUUAGAUCUUUUUAAAGGGUAAAUAAUUUUUUUUUCUUUUUUGUUCUUUUUCAUGCAUUUGCAUCACACUCAUUCAUUCAUUAUCACAACAUCAUCAUUGAAUCUUCAAUUGUGGUACUAAGGUGCAAGAAUAGCUACACAUCUAUACAAUACCCGAGCUUGAGCUAGAAAGAUGGAAUUGGACAAUACAAGCCACCUUGAAAGGAUAAAAAAAGCUCAAAAGGCAUUAGAAAGAAAGUUAAGCAAGAUUCUGGAAGCCCUAGAAAAAGUGAAUAGAGGAAAAUCGAUGGAAGAAGAUACUUCAUAAGAAGCCAUUAAAUCAGCAUAUCCUUUAGCCUUUGAUCCACAACAAACUUAAACUGCCCAAAUAUUUCAACCUCAACUGGUAGCUUUUCCAAAAUACAAUUACCUAGGAAUGACUUAUACACCCAGUCAUGAAGAUAUUUAGAGUUAUAAUAAUCUAGUUUAUGUUGAAAAGAUGGAUGAAGCCAUUCAACUCCCUACUAUAGAUGAAGUAAAAGAGAAAGAGAACCUACAAAUAACUAUGCCUUUAGAGAGUUUUAAAACUGAUCAGGCUAUAAACAGGCUUGAAGAAAGAUUGAGGGCUAUAGAAGGAAUUGAUUUCUAUAGAUCCAUGGAUGUAGUAGGACUUUACCUAGUACCAAACAUGGUGAUGCCACCAAAAUUUAAAGUACCAUAGUUUGAGAAAUAUAACGGCACUAAGUAUCUUAUCACACAUAUCACCAUGUACUAUCAUAAAAUGACAGCACAUACUAGUGAUGAAAAGCUACUUAUGCAUGUGUUUCAAGAUAGCUUAAUAGGUUCACAGCAAGAUGGGAUGUUCAGUUAGAUGGGACCUGUAUAAAGACAUGAAAAGAUCUAACUUAAUCUUUUAUUAAUCAGUACCACCAUAUCAUCGACAUGGCUCUUUAUCAUCUUUCUCUACAAGCAAUGGAAAAGAAGGCAUUUGAAUUUUUUAAGUAAUACGCCCAAAAAUGGUGGGAUGUAGCUACCCAAGUAAAACCUCCCUCGACGGAGAAAAAAACUAUUGUGUUAUCUGUGAGCACUCUAAAGUCACCCUAUUCUGAGAGGAUGAUUAGAAAUACGACUAAAACUUUGCUAAAAUGGUGAUUUCAGGAGAGAUCAUAAAAAAUGCCAUAAAAAAUGGUAAGCUUGAAAGAGAUAAGUCUUUCAAAAGAGCACCUAAAAAGAAGAAAAGUGAAACUCAAGCUAUGAGUCUUAAAGGGCAGCAAUUUAGAAACUAUUCUAGCUUACCUACCCUACAUACCAUCACAUGGUGAACCAUGCUUCUGUAUCUCCUUACCAAUCAACCACCCAACCAUCUUAUCAUCUUCACCCAGAUCCCUUACUUACCCAGUCAACACUACAAGCAAUGCUAGAGAACCAUGAACCAGGGAAAGGCCCACUUUUGAUCCUAUACCCAUAAACUACAUAGAGCUAUAUCGAGAGCUCUACAAAAAUCAUAUAAUUGCUCAUGUUCCUACUAAGCAGCUUGAACCUCCCUACCCUAAAUGGUAUGAUUUCAAUGCUCACUGUGACUAGCAUUUUGGAGUAACGAGACACUUUAUUGAAAACUAUGUCCUUUCCAAGUAUAAGGUACAACGUCUGAUCAAGAAAAGGUUAAUAAGCUUUGACACCAACAAAAAUUCAGCACCUAAUGUCAGCGGGAAUCCCCUGCCCAAUCAUACAUUAAUGCUUUAAAGGCAGUGAUAAACAUAUGAAAAUGAGAGUAGAGGAGCUUAAGAUAUCAUUUAACCAGUUGUAUGAAGUCCUAUAUAAAGCUGAGAUGAUACAACCAGUAACCCCAUGAACUUAUAUAGGAAGAUACAACCUAAAUCAAAGAUAUAAGUAUCAUGGCAGGGCAUCAAGACAUUCAAUUAACGUCUGCAAACACUUUCGUGGUGAAGUUCAGAAACUGAUGGACUCUUACCAAAUAGAGUUAUAUAAAAAGUUAAGAGCCUCAGAAGACAUCAGGGUGGCUAUGAAGAACAAAUGAGUGCCAAAACCUAUCACUAUACAUUGUAAGGAGAAGCCACAAUCAAUUGGGAAUAAAUUUGUUCCCAAACUAGUAGCUCUUAAAGUUUCAUGCCCAUUUCUUUAUAAAGAUAAUAAAGUGAUACCCUAGAGAUAUGAAUAUGAGUUGACGACUCAAGGGCAGCAAAAAGAUAUGCCAAAAGCUAAAAUUGCACAUAUAAUAGGUGUAAGAGGCAUAACUAAAAAUGAAAAAUGUUACACUCUGAUAAUUUUAGAAAAAAAGAAAAGAGAAGCAAAUUAAACCAAAACUCCAAAAAAAGAUGCCUUGAAGUCUAUGCAUGAAAAAAAAGCCUGCGAGUUUUUGAAUCUAGUUAAGCACAGUGAGUAUUCUGUGGUAAAGCAAUUGAAUAAAAUGCCAACUAGAAUUUCUCUACUAUCACUUCUCCUGAACUUUGAACCACGUCACAAUGCCUUGUUGAAGGUAUUGAAUUAGGCUUUUGUGGCCCAUAAUGUAUUUAUGGAGUAUGUGAAUCACUUGACAGAAAAUCUAGUGGUGCCACAUCAUAUCUCUUUCAAUGAUGACGAGAUUCUGCUUGAGGGUAGAAGUACCACCAAUGCAUUGCACAUCACUGUCAAAUGUAAAGGCCAUAUAGUAACUAAGGUCCUUGUUAAUAAUGGAUCAACUAUUAAUGUCAUGCUUAUGUCCACUCUAGCCAAGCUGUCCUUUGAUAUGUGCCAUAUCCAAAACAGUCAGAUAGCAGUCCGAGCAUUUGAUGGGACUAGAUAAGAGGUAUUGGGGGAUGUUAAGUUACUUAUAUAGAUUGGACCAUGUGUUUUCAACAUAAAAUUUCAAGUCAUGGAUAUUUCCCUAUUAUAUAGCUGUAUAUUAGGAAGACCAUGGAUCAACAUGACAAGCGUUGUCCUUUCCUCAUUGCAUCAAAAGAUUAAAUUCAAUGUAAAAGGAUAAUUGAUGAUUGUGGUUAGAGAAGAAGAUAUAUUGUUGACUCAACCCAUAAAUGCCUUAUAUGUGGAAGCGAUAAAAGAAUCAUUGGAGUGCUCUUAUUCAUCUUUUGAACCUGUUAAUGCAGUAGGUGAAGGGUUUAAGUUCAGCCAGAUUGUGAUCAAUUAGAUGAUUAACAAGGGUUAAAGUAUUGGGUUUAGUUUGGGUAAAAACUUCAAAGGAUGAGAGUGCUUCUUAAGAUAGAGGAUCAUAGCUACAAAAUAAGAUUGGGUUACGAGGUGGAAGAAUGGUAGAACAAUAGCAGGAGGGUACAAAAUGGGUCGAUGAUCUUUUUUUAAUUAAAUGAAACUUUUAUUCUUGGAGGAUACAUGUACUAGGGAGCUGAAAAGCACAUAAAAGAAGAACCAGAAUUGGAGGAACCUUUUGCCAAGUUAUCCAUUCAUAUAAUGGAUAAUGAAAGUAAAAAUGAGGAAGCUUUAGUUUACCCCUGCCCACCAAGAUAUGAAUUACAAAAUUAAAGGGUCAUUCAAAUGUCUAUUGUUUCUAAUUUUUUUCAAUAUAAUCACAUCUUUAAUCACUUAUGCCCAAAAGCAUUGGGAUGAACUCUUAUAUUUGGGUCUUUUAUUUUUCAUUAUGACAAUAAAAGUAGGGGCAUGCAUUUUGUUCAUUUAUUCCAUUCCAUUCAUUACCCCAUCAAAAUUUCUUGCCAAUAUUUCCUAUUCUAUUAAUUUUCAAGUCUCCAAAUAAAUAUGAAGGUAAUUAUUCCAAGGUUUAACUUUGAAAAUUCAAUUAAUAUCGAUGAACUUGAUAUUAAAGAAAAUUUUGAGAAAUACACUUUGCCUUCAGAUUUAAUGAGGCUAAUUGAGUAAGAAGAUAAGACCAUUGAGCCUCAUCAAGAAAUUAUUGAUUUAAUCAAUGUGGGUGAUAUCGAAAACAAUAAAGAAGUCAAGAUUAGUACUUCACUCUUAGUGGUCGAUCGACAAUGAUUAAAAGAUUUACUUCGGGAGUUUGUGGAUGUAUUUGCUUGGCCCUACCAAGAUAUGCCUGGACUCAGCACCAAAAUAGUGGAGCAUAGGCUACCAUUGAAGCCAAACUGUAAAUCGGUACAGUAAAAACUAAGAAAAAUGAAACAAAAAAUGUUGUUGAAAAUCAAAGAGGAAGUUAAAAAGCAAUUUGAUGUAUGCUUUCUACAAGUGGCUAAAUAUCCUGAAUGGGUAGCUAAAAUAGUACAUGUUCCUAAAAAAUAUGGAAAGGUACGAAUGUGUAUGAACUAUCAAGAUCUGAAUAAAGCGAGUUUAAAGGAUAACUUUCCACUACCUCACAUAGAUACACUGGUGGAUAAUACAGCUUGACAUUUAGUGUUCUCUUUUAUGAAUGGAAUUUUCAGUUAUAAUCAAAUAAAGAUGGCACUAGAUGACAUGGAAAACACUAUAUUUAUCACUAUGUGGGAAACAUUUUGCUACAAGGUCAUGCCUUUCAGACUAGAAAAUGCUGGGAUAACCUAUCAAAAGGCUAUGGUAACUCUCUUCCACGAUAUGAUGCAUGAGAAAAUUGAAGUGUAUGUGGAUGACAUGAUUACCAAGUCCCGAAAAAGAGAGGAUCAUGUGGUCAACCUCAAAAAAUUAUUCAAGAGGUUGAAGAAGUUUUAGCUCAAAUUGAAUCUGGCUAAAUGUACAUUCGGAGCCAGGUCAGAGAAGUUACUAGGAUUUAUAGUCAGUGAAAGAGGAAUAGAAUUCAACCCAGACAAAAUUUAGGCCAUUUAGAAUCUAUCCCCUCCAAGCACACAAAAAGAGGUUCAAGGCUUCUUAGGUAGAUUGAAUUAUAUUUCUUGGUUCAUUUUUCAACUCACUUUUAAAUGUGACCCCAUUUUUAAACUCCUUCGAAAGAAUAAUCAUAGGGAGUGGAAUGAACAAUGUCAAGAAGCUUUUAAUAAAAUUAAAAAGUACUUAUUAAAUCCCUCAAUAAUAGCACCCCCUGUUCUGGGAAAGCCAUUAAUUCUAUACAUAGUAAUACAUAAAGAAUCAAUGGGAUGUAUGUUGGGCUAACAAGAUGAGUCUGGUAGGAAAGAGAAAGCUAUUUAUUACCUGAGCAAGAAAUUCAUAGAGUAUGUGAGCCAAAAAGUAAUCAAAGGAAGUGUCAUUGCUGAAUUCUUAACAAACAUGACCACUAAUGAUUAUAAGCCCAUGAAGCUUGAUUUUCUAGAUGAAGAACUAAUGGCUAUCUAAAAAUUAGAAGAAGAUGAUAAUAAGAAAGAGACAUGGAGGAUGUAUUUUGAUAGGGCUGCCAAUGCCAUGGGGCAUGGGAUCGAAGCAGUUUUAAUAUCUCCAACAGAGCAUUACUAUCUUGUUACAGCAAGAUUGAAUUUUAACUACACCAAUAUUGUAGCUGAAUAUAAGGCUUAUGUUAUGGGGCUGCAUACUACUUUAGAUAGGAAAAUUGAAACAUUAAGGGUGUUUAGGGAUUCAGCUCUAGUCAUUUAUCAAUUAAAAGAUGAAUGGAAAACAAGGGAUUCCAAACUCAUCCCUUAUUACAAAUACAUGUUGGAGGUAUACAGACAAUUUAAAGCAAUUCAGUUUGAACACUUACCUUAAGAAAAAAAUCAGAUUACAGAUGCCUUGGUUACCUUGGCUGUAAUGGUACAGAUUAGUGAUACUAUAAAAAUUUAAUCUAUCAAAUUAGAUAUCAAAGACAUGCCAGUGCAUUGUGCCAACUUGAAAGAUGAGAAUGAUGGCUGCCCUUGGUAUCAUGAUAUCAUGUGAUAUUUAAAGAAUCAACAAUACCUUGAUCAAGCAACAAAAAGUGAUAAGAGAGUCUUACGAAGAUUGGCAAUAGGAUUUUUUUUAGAUAGGGAAAUUCUGUACAAACAAGGUAAAGACCAAGUGUUAUUAUGCUAUGUAGGCACCUCUGAGGCCAAAAAGAUUAUUGAGGAAGUUCAUAGUGGCAAUGUGGAACACAUGUAAACAGGCAUAUGAUGGCAAGACAAGUCAUGUGAGCUAGAUAUUACUGGUUGACAAUGGAAAAAGAUUGCAUUGAUUAUGCUUGAAAAUGCCACAAAUGUCAGAUUUAUGCUAACAAAAUUCAUGCUUCGCCUAGUGCUUACAUGUUAUAGCACCACCUUGGCCAUUUUCUAUGUGGGAGAUGGAUGUCAUUAGUCUUAUCACACCAAAGCUCUCAAACAAGAAUAGAUUUAUUUUUUUGAUGAUUGAUUACUUCACUAAAUAGGUCAAAGCUGCCUCCUUCACAACUAUGACAAGAUUAGUGGUCGUAAAUUCAUCAAAAAAGAAAUAAUCUACAAAUAUAGGCUUCAUGAAAGAAUUAUCUCAAACAAUGCAAAGAAUUUGAAUAGUAAGAUGAUGUAAGAGGUAUGUGUUCAGUUCAAGAUCAAACACCAUAAUUCAACUCCAUACUGCCCAAAAAUGAAUGAGAUAGUAAAAGCUACAAAUAAAAAUAUCAAAAUAAUUUUAGAGAAGAUGAUUGAAACAUAUAAGAAUUGGCAUGAAAAAUUACCUUUUGCUCUACAUGCAUAUCGAACUUUCGUACGUACCUCUACUGAGGCAAUUCCUUUUUCCCUAGUGUAUGAAAUGGAAGUUGUGCUACCAGUAAAAGUAAAAAUCCCAUCACUAAAGGUUUUAAAGGAAGUGAGAUUAGAAAAAGCUGAAUGGAUUCAAGAGCGCUAUGAGUAAUUAAACUUUAUUGAAGAGAAGAGAUUAACGGCACUUUGCUAUGGCUAAUUGUACCAAAAGAGGAUGAUGAGAGCUUGUGGCAAAAGGUUAGACCUCAUUAGUUCCAAGAAGGAGAGUUGGUAUUGAAGAGAAUUCUUUCAAGUCAGCAUGAUGAUAGGGAAAAAUGGACUUUGAAUUAUGAAAGACCAUAUAUUGUAAAAAGAGCCUUUUUAGGAAGAACCUUAAUCUUAUCAAAAAUGGAUAAAUAUGAACUUCCUAGUCUUGUUAAUUCUAAUGUGGUGAAGUAGUACUUGAUUCCAAAAAAAAAAAGUUCAAGUUGAAAACCUGAAAGGAUGGCUUGAAGUAAAAAAAAAAACAAAAAAUAAAAAAAAAAAGAAAGGUUCAAGUUAAAAACCCAAAAGGGCAGCUUGGGUCUAAAAGAGAGGUUCGAGUUGAUAACCUGAAAAAUGGCUUAGAUCCAAAUAAAAAAGGGUUCAAGUUGAAAAUCUUGAAAGAUAGCUGGAAUCAAAUGGAAUAUGGCAUCAUUUGGGAAGGCAUAUUAGGGACAGUGAAUUUCAAAGAGAUUUGAGGUGUCAGGGCAUCAUAUUUUGAGUUUUUAAAGGAGAUCCAAGAUUUGUUGUCAUAAUUAUCUAAUCAUUUAUCUUGAGGCAUUGUUAUGCUAAAUAGUUGUUACUGUACAUUCUCUUUUUAUCCUUAUACCAUCAUUUGUAAUUUAUUACUUAUCCAAAUAAGUGAAAGUUGUCUUAUUAUUCUCUCUUAGUCCCAUACAUUGCCAAUACAUUUGUCCUUUCUCUGUAUACCUUGCCAUGGAUGGAAGAAGUGCAUAACUUGCAUCCUAUACUUUGAAAUUGGGAUAAUGAUUAGUAAUUGAACAAAGUCAUAAGAAAUUAUGUGUUACUUUGAAGAAUUAAAGGAGACAAGGACCGAAGAUGAAUUCUUCCAAAAUAAGAGCAAAAUAGCUUCCAUAGCCCUCUUCGAGAUAAAGAUAAAUAUUCAGGCUAAUGAAUGAUGGUUUCUUUGUCAAAUUUGUGCAUUUAUAAAGGUUUAUUCCUUAAAAUGUGCAAUAAAAAUAAAUAUUUAGGCUGAUAAAAGAUGGUUUCUUUGCCAAAUGUGUGUAGAAACAAGAAUGCAGAAGCCUUAAUACCAUAAUUGAUAUUGCGUUUGUAUUCUAGAUAGGACAUUAUCCACUCACUUGAUCCUGGCUUAGUCCAGAUCAUCUCUUAUGAUUCGUGGUUUUAUCCCGAUUAUUUAUUUUCGACCUCAACUUGAUCCUUGUCACUUUAUUUUGACUCGUGGUUUUGUCCUGGUCACUUGAUCUUGGUUCAGUCUACAUCAUUUCUUAUGAUACAUGGUUUCAUCUCGAUCAUUUAUUUUAGACCUCGACUUGGUCUUGGUCAUUUUAUUCUAACUCAUGGUUUCAUCCCGAUCACUUGACUUGGUUUAGUCCAAAUCAUUUGUUGUGAUUCUUGUUGUCAUCCCGAUCAUUUAUUUUUUACCUUAACUCAGUCCUGUUCACCUUAUUUUGACUUGUGGUUUCAUCUUGGUCACUUGAUCUUGGCUCAAUCUAGCUCAUCUUUUAUGAUUUGUGAUUUCAUCCUGAUCAUUUACUUUCAACCUGGACUUAGUCCUGGUCGUUUUAUUUUGACUUGUGGUUUCAUCUCGGUUACUUGAUCUUGGCUUAGUCCAAGUCAUUUUUCAGAUUUACAGAUCAUUUUUGAUACGACUCGAAUAGAGUAAGUGUCUAGGUCUUUGCAACAUUUCUAUCAAAUAGAUAUGUGUAAAAAGGGAUAGCUAUAGACACCCAUUUGUGUUAUAGCCCAAUUAGGGUUCAUUUGUAUCUGGGCCUAAUUAAGCCCAUUGAUGUCUGAGUCUAAUUAAGCUUAUUAGUGUUUGGGCCCAAUUAGGCCCAUUGAUGUCUAGGCCCAACUAGGUCCAUCUGUGUUCGGGCCUAAGUAGGCUAACUCUUAUUAUUAUUAUUAUUAUUAUUUAUUUUCUUUGGUAUUUCUGUGUAUAUAUUUAUAUUAUUAUUAUUAUUACUAUUAUUAGUAUUAUUUUAUUUUCGUUUCUUUCUUUCCUUUUUUUUCUUUUUUUUCUUUCCUUUUCUGUUUAAUCCACAGUGCACAAAGGAUGGAACUGGGAUUAGAAUCCCUUGGUCAAAUGCAAAAUUGUGUCAGCUGGAAUUUUGGACCUAAAAUUCACGCUAGACAAAAUACAUUCCUAGGAUUCAAGCUUGGGGUUGAUUUUGUCUGUUUCCUAAAAUUAUUCCUAGGACUGCCUAUAAAUUGGACUAAUUUUACAAGAGAACACACAUAAAAAUUUAAAGAGAAAAUUAUUAAAAAAAAUAUGGGAAAUUUUAGGCAAAAAGGGUUCUGAUAGUUUAAUUUUGGGAUUUUGGGGUUCAAUCUAAAAUUGUGGGUUUGAUUUUAAGUUUCUAAGUUAAAUUUAGGGUUUAAGACAAUUCUAGGAGGUCUGAGAGUAAUCUGGGAAAAAUUUAGAGAAAUUUGGAGAGAGUUUGAAGAAAUCUGGGUUUUUUUGGGUUUUUGGGAAGAACAUGAAUUUUUCGAUGAUCGUUUGAAGUUUUCGAUGAGAUUCUGACAAGGUUUGUAGAAUUUGACACAUUUUCUAGAAACCGAUGGGUUUUUCAAUUUUUAAUUAAAUUUUUUGGCGACAUCUCCAAAAAUUGAUGAGAUUCUCAGUUUCUAGUUGAAUUUGUCGAUGGGUUUUUUAAAGAGAAGGUAGAGGGAAAUCGGCUAGAGAAAAAGACGGGAAGAGGCUUUUGAGCAAAAAGACGUUGGACUUGACUUAUAUACCAUCUCUACACAAUAUCAUUUUAGUUAAGCUAUGAUCUGUGUGCAAACCCGAUGACUCACGUGUUGACCCGAUUCGAUAGCACAUUUUCUCUUUUCCAUUUUAUUUUUAUUUUAUUUUAUUUUAUUUUUAACCUAUUUUUUAUUAUUUUUUGGUUUUAUUUAUUUUUUUUAAAAAAAAGAGUUGUUUCUACCACUUUUAUUUCUAAAAGUAAAAAGAAAAUGGUAAAAAAAAAAUAAAUCUACAAAAAAAUAAUAAAAAAUAAAAGUUUUAAAUAAACAAUAAUAAUUUUUUAUCUUCUAAACUAUUGGAGGAUUUUUUUGAAGUAAGCCCUAUCAAAUUAUUAGGAGGCUUUACUAAUUUUUCAGAGAUAAAAUAAAUUAAUAAAUCUAACGAUGGAGCCUCUUCAGAAUAUGACACUAGUCUCUAUGAACACUUUUGAAGUGAGAAAAUUAUCUUAAAUUGCUACCAAACUAUUAAGACAAUUUUAAGAUUAAUUUUUAAUAUUAAAUUAUUUGGUAAAUCAGAAAAAUGGUUAAGGCUUGGAUAAUUUUAAAUCAAACUGGUACCAUCCUUUGGAUGGACGUUGUGAGGGUGCUACAAUCUUUCCCAUGUGUAAUCGACUCCCAAACCUAACAUCUGUUUUCAUAGACCAAAAUAUAUUUCAGGUGGCCAAUCACACCUAGACAAAAAGAUUGGUAGUGAUUCCCUCUAAUCCAUGUCUAACGGUAAGUUCACGGAUCUAUACGUUAUGAUAAAUACUUCUAAAAUAUCUUUUAACAUAUCUAAUAAGAUAGUUAUCAUGCACCAUUGGAAAGUAGUAGGAGCAUUGCACAAUCCAAAAGGUAUCGUUUUGAAAGCAAAUGUACCAUACGGAUAGGCAAAAGUAGCCUUCUAUUGGUCUUGCAGAGCUAUGGUGAUUUGGUUAUGCCCUGAAUAACUAUCAAGUAAACAAUAAUAUUCUUGGCCAACUAAUCUAUCAACCAUUUAGUCUACAAAUGGCAAUGGGAAAUGAUCCUUGCAUGUGGCUUUUUUUAAUUUCUUGUAAUCCAUAGAAACCUCCUUAUCCUAUAAUAGUUUUUAUUAGGAUCAACUUAUUAUGCUCAUUAGUGACUAUUGUCAUUCCACCUUUCUUCGAUACACAUUGAACUAGGCUUACCUAUAAACUAUCAAAGAUAGGAUAAAUUAUUCUUGUAUCUUGCCAUUUGAUUAUCUUUUUUUUUACCACUUCCUUUAUGGUAGGAUUUAUGCACCUUUAUUACUUUAUUGUAGCUUUGUGACCAUCUUCUAGGAAGAUCUUUUGCAUACAAAUGGUGUGACUUAUACCUUUUAUGUCUGCUAUGGACCAAGCAAAUGCCUUCUUGUGUUCCCUCAAAACACCUAAUAGUUUCUUUUCUUACUUUUUACUUAAGGCUGCAUAGAUGAUGAUUAAGAAAGUAGAUGCUUUGGCCAAAAUGUAUAUCUAAGAUAAGAUGGCAAAGGCUUAAGUUCUAACAUUGGGGGUUCUUCAAUUGAAGGUUUAAGGCUCUAAAUAGGGGAUCUUAGCUUGUAACCUUCAUUUUGUUCAUUAGAAUAAAAAGUUAUCAGCCCAACUUCUUCAAACACUUUUUUUUAUUAGAUUAUCUAUAUUCUUGGAAGACUUCUUUUCUUGGCUCAUGUUGGAUGUUACUUUUUGCUUUUACGCCUUCAUUGUGAGCUCCCCUUUAUUCAUGUCGAUUUGAGCCUUUCUAGUCCUUAAAAAGGGUUUUCCCAAAAUAAUUGAUACACUAACAUUUUUUUUAAUGUCCAAUAUCACAAAAUCAAGUGGAAAUACCAAUUCCCCUACUCGAACCAAUAGAUCUUCCAUUAUGCCUUUAGGAUGUCUAAGAGAGAAAGAGUGAGUUAGAUUGUUAUCUUCGUUGGUUUCAGUUUUCCUUCACCGAUUUUCUUAAAAAUAGAUAAUGGCAUCACAUUAACACUUACACUAAUAUCACAUAAAGCCUUAUCAAAAUAAUGAUUACCAAUAGUGCAAAGUAUAGUAAAACUCCCUGGAUCCUUAAGUUUUGGUGGCAUCCGUUAUUGUAGGAUGUUAUUGCAUUCUUGAGCCAUUACCAUGGCUUUUAAAUCUUCUUAUAUUUUUUUCUUCAAAAGGAUUUCUUUCAUAAAUUUAACGUAUUUAGGUAAGUGCUUAAUAGCCUCAACAAAAGGAAUGGUUACUUUCACAAUGUUUCAGGAUCAGAAAGUGCUUGAGUGUCAAAUGAUGGGGGAUUUGGAAAAUGGAGGGCUAAAAAGCAUUUUCAAUAAAAAAACAAAAUAAGAAGUUGCCACUAAUAUUUUUAGGGUGUGAUUAGCACUUAUAAAUAUUUUGUCCUUUGAAUAAAACAUUUAAAAGAUUUGAAAGUUUUAUAAAAAGAAUAAAUUGAGGUCUACGAAAUCAGAUUUAAGGUUCGAGAGUCGAUUACGGGUGGGAAAAAAUUAGCACCUUUAUCGCACCCAUCGAAGAUGGUACCAAUUAACUGUAUGUUAUCAUUAGACUUUGGGUAAAAAUGGUCUUAUUCUGAUGUUUAAGAAAUUAAUUCAUUUCUUUCAUUAAUUCAUAAAAAAUCUUGAAUUUUGUUUUCUUUUUUAGAAGAAAUCAAUUUUUGAAAACAAAACAUUUUAUUUUUGGAUCAAAGUGAAAACACCUUAAGUAUCAAGACACUUUUUCACUCUCUUAUAUUUAGGUAGAGCUUAAAAAAUAUCCUUAACUUAAGGGUUUUCAAAUUGCCCCACAAAACUAAGAUAACACCUCGAAUAAAUAGUAAUCACCUAGAAUCCUCCUAUAUUUAGGUUAGAUCAUAAUGACUAUAUUUAAUUGAGAUAUUAUCUUAUUUAAAAUAUUUUUCUUUGAAAACUCUCUUUUUUAAAAGACUUAUGCAUGAUAUGUAUGAACAAAAUGAUAACGUGAUGAAUGCAUAAGAGUCAAACAUGAAUGACAAGGCAUCAAUGCAUCAUAGUUUAAGAAUACAUAUAACAAAGUAAAAUGAAACACAAAUACAUGAAAUGGGGCAAGUGUUGGUUUUAGGGUUUGGGGGUUGGUUCGAGUUUUUAAGGUUUGGGGUCUAGGUUAAUGUUUAGGGUUUGGUUCAGAGUUUAAGUUUAGUUUAGGGUUUAGGUUUUGUUUAGGGUUUAGGGUUUGUUUAAGAUUUAAGGUUUCUUUUAGGGUUUGGGGUUAGGGUUUAAGUUUAGCAUUUAGGUUUAGGGCUUAAAUGUUGGUUUAGGGUUUAAGGUUAGUUUAAAGUCUAGGUUAAGGUUUAGGGUGGUUUAGGAUUUGGAAUUUGAGGUUUGAAUUUGGAAUUUCAUGAGAAAAUGUAUGUGAUAAAAACAAAUAACAAAAAUGCCAUUGGUAAAAUUAUAACUAUUGAUGCAUGUGACAAAUAAUGAAAAUGGCUUUGAUAAAAGAAUAAAUAUAGAUGCAUGAAAAAUGCACGACGAAGGAACAAACUAACUAUAAAUCUAGGCAUUUUCAAAACUAUAUUAGAAACUAAAUGUGCAUGUGAAAACAUAAUGUAAAUGGAUCAAACACUAAUUGUUUUUUUAAGAUUUUCAAGACAUCUUCCACCAUUUUUUUUCUUUUGAAAUUCAUGCAAAUAAACACUAAAAUACCAAAUAACUUACUAAACUAACAUUUUAUUCAUGGCAAAUUUACUUAAACACAUUGAAAAUUUGAAGAACCAACCAAGAACACAAGCAAGCAAUGAUGAAAUAAGCAACAUUUGACCAUAAACUAGUUUCGGCCAAGCAUGGGAAAAGGCUUCGUCAAAAAGCUCCCAUGGCAUUUCACAAACAUAUAUUAUUUCCCUUAGGUAAAUUAUGCAUGAAACAUCCAUAGAACCAUUACACAAAGAUAUUUUUACUACAAGAGGAAUUUCAUCAAACUUGUGAGUAACAUGGUAAGGAAGCCACAAAAACAUGAACAUUUAGCCAAACACCAAAUAUGCAUCAUUAACUAUUCAAAAUUCAUACAAAAUAUAAGUAAACUCAUUAACUAAUCAUUAUAAACAUGUUGAAAUUUGAUGAACAAAGCAAGGACACAAACAAUUAAUGAUGGACCAAACAACAUCUAGCCAUGAACAAGUUUAGAGGUUUUGGCCAAACAUGGCAAUGGCUUGGCCCUCACACAGCCAUGCUUUCAUUCCAUUUAACUUGAACAUGCAUUAAACAUCAAGGCAUUCAUCAUAUAGAAGUAUUUUAAUCACAAAAGGAAUUUCACCAAACAUGUAACAAACUAAAAUAGUGAGAAAGCCAAAAAACCAAAAACAUUAACCAAACACCAAACAUACAUCACAAACUAACCAAAAUUAAUGUAAAUAGUGAAUAAAAUAACAAUCUAGAUCACCCAUAAACAACCUGAGAAGCAACGAAAACAUUUAAGAAGAACCAUGAAGAGGCUUAGCCAUGAUGGAGUUGUGUUUGAUUGAAUCUCUAAAUGGUUUGCAAAUGGUUGAUUUUUUUUUUGUUGCUUGGACUUUGUAUUUCAAUCCGGCUAUGAUUUAGUCAAAUGAAAUUUUGAUCCAAGCUUCAAAUAAAAUGAUGAAAAAAACUACAAAUUUUUUAAAAAAAACAAAAAAUCAAAAGCUAGAUGUUAUGAAAAAUAUGAUAAAUGCUAUGGAAUGCUUAUGAAAAUGUAAAAAAAAAAAUUGGCAAAAAGAUUAUAUCUCUUCCAAGUACUCCUUUAUGAUUUUUCUCCUCCUCUUUUUUCACAUCCCAACCAGCCUCCUUCCCUCUCUAAAAGGCACGAAUUCCUAGCCCUUAUAAAGAGAAAAUAUAUCUUCCUUAAUGUAUGCAAGCCGUUGGAUUAAAAAUUCAUCUACUGAUUAAAAAUUCUCCCUUGUUUUCUUUGUAAGAAGCCACCUUUCACCAUCGAAUCUGGCCCCUCAAUAUCAUCCUAUGGCUGAGAAGGCUAACUACUAAAGAUUGGAUUUUUAAUACUAUUGGAACCAAGUGAAAAUACCAUUUUACCUUAUAUUAGAAAGUUUUCAGUUUCUAGGCCAUUUUUUGUAAAACAAUGUUCCCUUCUUCAUUUUUUAUUUUAAAG
rnacentral:lncRNA from 1 species